rnacentral:ncRNA from 1 species
ACAAUCUCGAACAAAGAGUUUUCGGGACACACGCGGCGCAAUGUUGAAGAAGUUGUCGCCGCACCGUAGGUAUCAGGGAAUGGUUCUCUGAUAGAAGGGCAUUAAUAGCGCUGUCUGGCUCAAGCUAAGCCGGGGCAUAUUGAGGAACCCAACA